AUGAAAAUGAUUUGCUGGAACUGUCGAGGUUUGGGCCAACCUCGGACAGUCCAAGAGCUGGUGUGCCUCACAAAGACACAUCGACCCAAUGUUAUCUUUCUUUCAGAAACAAGGCAAAAUAAAGAGUAUGUUGAGAGUUUGCGUUAUCGCCUUGGUAUGAAAAUUGUAUUUAUUGUUUCUGUUCCAGGAAAAGGAGGUGGCUUAGUGGUUUUUUAGGACGACCUUUAU
rnacentral:rRNA from 1 species